GUAAAAGUCGUAACAAGGUUUCCGUAGGUGAACCUGCGGAAGGAUCAUUAUUGAAUAAACUUGAACAGGCUGUUGCUGGCCCUCUCUUGUGAGGGGGACAUGUGCACGCUUGUCAUCUUUAUCUCUCCAACUGUGCACACAUUGUAGACCUGGAGUCGUCUUUGUUGAUUCAUUCGAGUUGGCACUGCAGCGCUUUUCAAAACAAAAAAAAGUCUGCUCUGCCUUUUGCAUUUCCAGGUCUAUGUCAUUUUCACAACCUCAAUGUGUUUAGAAUGUCGAAUCAGGUCCUUUUUUGUACCUAUAAAAGUUAAAUAUACAACUUUCAGCAACGGAUCUCUUGGCUCUCGCAUCGAUGAAGAACGCAGCGAAAUGCGAUAAGUAAUGUGAAUUGCAGAAUUCAGUGAAUCAUCGAAUCUUUGAACGCAUCUUGCGCUCCUUGGUAUUCCGAGGAGCAUGCCUGUUUGAGUGUCAUUUCAAGUUCUCAACUGCAUCAAUUUCUCGUUGAUGUGGCUUGGAUGUGGGGGAUUGAUUAUUGCAGGCUUCUGUCAAAGGAGGUCGGCUCCCCUGAAAAGUAUUAGUGGUAUCUGAGCAGAAGAAACUACUAUAGGUGUGAUAACUAUCUAUGCCUUCAGUAUGCUGCAUAAAAACAGAUUGCACUGCUUCUAACCUAGUGAAAACCUCUCUCUACAAGGAGGGGCCACAUUUGACGAAUUUGACCUCAAAUCAGGUAGGACUACCCGCUGAACUUAAGCAUAUCAAUAAGCGGAGGAAAAGAAACUAACAAGGAUUCCCCUAGUAACUGCGAGUGAAGCGGGAAAAGCUCAAAUUUGAAAUCUGGCGGUUUUUUGACUGUCCGAGUUGUAAUCUAGAGAAGUGUUACCUGUGCUGGACCGU
rnacentral:rRNA from 1 species